CGAGCACCGGUUCCCGCCCACCGCGCACGCGGGCGACCCGGCGGCU
rnacentral:ncRNA from 1 species